rnacentral:sRNA from 1 species
GUCCUACUCAGCCGACUGGCUGCACAACGACAAUUCCUCUGGAGGUGAUGACGAUUCAGAAGAGGAUUCUGACGCCGAAUUUCUGGUUCAUCCGUGUCUUCGGAGUAUUAUUAAAUCGAAAUCCGCUUACGCAGUUCCCCGUAACUCUGAUGACGUUGCAGCGGCGGCAGCGAUGAAAAAUAACAGAAUUAAGCCGAGCAAAACAAGCUUUGAGGUGAGCUGGAUGAGGAGGUGGUGGUGAAGAUGUAGUUUGUAGUCUUUGUAGUUUUUGUAGUUUGUAGUUUAUAGUUUGUAGUCCGUCAGACCAAUGUUUUUUAGUUUAAAAUUGAUUGAGUCUGCCAUUUGCAGGUUCAUAGUUUUGUGUGGUUAGAUCUGUUAUUUCGAAGUUGGUAAUUUAUAGUUUGUAGUUUAUGGUUUGUAGUUUAUAAUUCGUAGUUUGUAGUUUGUAGUUUGUAGUCUGUAGUGUAUAGUCCAUCAGGCCAAAAUUUGCAAGUUUAAAAUUGAUUGAGUCUGUCAUAUGUAGGUUAAUAGUUUUGUUUGGCUAGAUCUGCUAUUUUGAAGUCAGAGAUUUAUAGUUGUAGUUUGUAGUUUGUAGUUUGUAGUUUGUAGUUUGUAGUUUCUAGUUUGUAGUUUGUAGUUUAUAGUUUGUAGUUUAUAACUUGUAGUUUGUAGUUUGUAGUUUGUAGUUUAUAGUUUGUAGUCCGUCAGACCAAUAUUUGCCAGUUUCAAAAUGAUUUGAUCUGCCAAAUUUAAAUUUUUUGUAUAUAUUUUACAAUUUAUAGUUUAUAGUUUGUAGUUUGUAGUCUAGCAGACCAGAACACCAUUUUUCAGAUUUCCUUAUCAAAAAUGAUGGAAUCAACGAGUAAAAGCAUAGCGGAAGAAGCAGAAUACUCAGUAGCCGACCUACUUCCGACACUUGAUGAAAAAUGGCCGGACCCUGAGGAAGAAAAUGAAAAUUUGAAGUCAAAGCGGCGGAAAUCCAAUAUUAUGAG